GGUGUUGAUGUGUCACUCAUUAG
rnacentral:siRNA from 1 species